rnacentral:rRNA from 1 species
GAUGAACGCUGGCGGCGUGCCUAAUACAUGCAAGUCGAGCGAACGGACGAGAAGCUUGCUUCUCUGAUGUUAGCGGCGGACGGGUGAGUAACACGUGGAUAACCUACCUAUAAGACUGGGAUAACUUCGGGAAACCGGAGCUAAUACCGGAUAAUAUUUUGAACCGCCUGGUUCAAAAGUGAAAGACGGUCUUGCUGUCACUUAUCGAUGGAUCCGCACUGCAUUAGCUAGUUGGUAAGGUAACGGCUUACCAAGGCAACGAUGCAUAGCCGACCUGAGAGGGUGAUCGGCCACACUGGAACUGAGACACGGUCCAGACUCCUACGGGAGGCAGCAGUAGGGAAUCUUCCGCAAUGGGCGAAAGCCUGACGGAGCAACGCCGCGUGAGUGAUGAAGGUCUUCGGAUCGUAAAACUCUGUUAUUGGGGAAGAACAUAUGUGUAAGUAACUGUGCACAUCUUGACGGUACCUAAUCAGAAAGCCACGGCUAACUACGUG